UUUCAACUCCCGGAAUUUUUUUAUUCGAACAGAUGAUUCUCACAAAUCUGGAAUACUAAAUUAACUGAUGACUGGAGAAAGAAAAGAGAGAAGAGAGAAACAAAGCUUUCAAAAAUAGACAAAACGAGCAUAGAUGAGUCAGAAUAUGAAUUCCGCCGCGAGGCUUCGCUCCGAUUAUCGAGCGUUCCAAAACAAUGCACUCGGGAUGUCUUGUGGCAAAUUACCACAGCAUCCAGCUCGAUCUAAACGACGAUGGGUAGAGUGGAAGUGCACAGGGCAUAAAUCGCAGCUUAUACAUAGGUCAGAGUAUAAAUCGUGCGGUUCAGGCGCGAAAGCACCGGCCGGAGAUAUGGAGGGGCUGUACCGCGUUCUAUGCGAGUAUUUCGAAAUUCUCCCAACUCGCUGAAACAAUGUAAUAAGAAUCCUGUCAAAGUAUAGAGGAAACGCGGACAUGAAAUCUAGUGGACAAUGGAACGAUCGAUAAGUGUUCUAGAUUAAGCAAAUCAUAGACGUACAUUUAGAGGCUGAAUUUCACUUAUGAGGCGGUAUUGACGCUGGUGUAUCAGUUUCCGAUGUUCUACGCGAAAAACUUGCGUUCUACCUGGUAUCGACGAUUUGACCUCUUGACUCGGCGCGUAAGUUGGCGCACUGGAGGCGAGAAUUUAUAAACCUGCAACUCGAGUCGAGCUCCUACCGUACUUUGCGGCGAACAACACACGUGCACUCCGUGUUCGGAAAACACGAACCCUUUCAUUACGAUGAUUCGAAUCAAAUCAAAACGAAUUCAGUUGAAUGAAAUCGCGAUCGUAUCUGUCAGACUCUGUUUUUUUUUUUUUUUUUUUUUUUUUUUUUUUUUUUUUUUUUUUUUUUUUUUUUUUAUAAACGCAGUGUGUAUGAUUUACCAUUUGGACAUUUGAUAUAUUUCUCAAUCUGGUAAAUGUUAUAAUUAUAGGUUUGUGAAUUAAUGUCACGAGUGUACCUCCAGCGAGUGUCACUAUAAACAGUUGUUUCACAAACGAUGAGACAGGCCGUAAAAAAAUUUAUUGAAAUUUAUUGCGAAUCCAUUCUGCAUCGAUUUCAUGGUUCGACGAUAGUCGUAUUAUGUUGAAUUUGAGUAUGUUUAUUAAAUAGAGUAUGAAGAACUAGGAAUGGUUCAUUUUUUUAAUUAAUCUGGAACUGACAAUGUUUGAUAUAUGCCAGUGGCUACAAAAGCAUGUGUGAAUAUCAUUAUAUUUGUGAUAAGAUUUAUAUAGUAAUUAAUUAAGUCCAAGUAAGUAUGUUGAAUAUCGAAUCGUUUAAUAGCAUGUUAAACACUUGAUAAUACAUAAAAAGAAAGAUAA